ACUACGGGUGGCUGCAGUGGGGAAUAUUGGGCAAUGGGCGCAAGCCUGACCCAGCAACGCCGCGUGAAGGAAGAAGGCUUUCGGGUUGUAAACUUCUUUUCUCAGGGACGAAGCAAGUGACGGUACCUUAGUAAUAAGCCACGGCUAACUACGUGCCAGCAGCCGCGGUAAUACGUAGGUGGCAAGCGUUAUCCGGAUUUACUGGGUGUAAAGGGCGUGUAGGCGGGGACGCAAGUCAGAUGUGAAAACCACGGGCUCAACCUGUGGCCUGCAUUUGAAACUGUGUUUCUUGAGUACUGGAGAGGCAGACGGAAUUCCUAGUGUAGCGGUGAAAUGCGUAGAGAUUAGGAGGAACACCAGUGGCGAAGGCGGUCUGCUGGACAGCAACUGACGCUGAGGCGCGAAAGCGUGGGGAGCAAACAGGAUUAGAUACCCCAGUAGUC
rnacentral:rRNA from 1 species